AAUUUUGGACAAUGUGGGAAACCCUGAUCCAGCCAUCUCGCGUGUUUGAUGAAGGCCUUCGGGUUGUAAAGUACUUUGGGCAGAGAGGAAAAGGUAUCUCCUAAUACGAGGUACUGCUGACGGUAUCUGCAGAAUAAGCACCUGCUAACUACGUGCCAGCAGCCGCGGUAAUACGUAGGGUGCAUGGUUUAAUCGGAAUUACUGGUGGUAAAGCGUGUGUAGGCGGUUCGGAAAGAAAGAUGUGAAAUCCCAGGGCUCAACCUUGGAACUGCAUUUUUAACUGCCGAGCUAGAGUAUGUCAGAGGGGGGUAGAAUUCCACGUGUAGCAGUGAAAUGCGUAGAUAUGUGGAGGGAUACCGAUGGCGAAGGCAGCCCCCUGGGAUAAUACUGACGCUCAGACACGAAAGCGUGGGGAGCAAACA
rnacentral:rRNA from 1 species